rnacentral:rRNA from 1 species
UACGAAGGGAGCUAGCGUUGUUCGGAAUCACUGGGCGUAAAGCGCACGUAGGCGGAUUUGUCAGUCAGGGGUGAAAUCCCGGGGCUCAACCUCGGAACUGCCUUUGAUACAACAAGUCUCGAGUCCGGAAGAGGUGGGUGGAAUUCCUAGUGUAGAGGUGAAAUUCGCAGAUAUUAGGAAGAACGCCGGUGGCGAAGGUGGCCCACUGGUCAGGUACUGACUCUGAGGUGCGAAAGCGUGGGGAGCAAUCACG